GACUAACGCUGGCGGCGUGCCUAACACAUGCAAGUCGAACGAGGUAGCAAUACCUAGUGGCAGACGGGUGAGUAACACGUGGUCAACCUUCCCUAGCGUGGGGGAUAACUAGCCGAAAGGUUAGCUAAUACCGCAUAACAUCGUCGAGUGGCAUCACAUGACGAUCAAAGGAGCAAUCCGCGCCAGGACGGGACCGCGUCCCAUUAGCUAGUUGGUGAGGUAAUGGCCCACCAAGGCUUCGAUGGGUAGCUGGUUUGAGAGAGCGACCAGCCACACU
rnacentral:rRNA from 1 species